AUUUAUUUUUCUAAUUGCUCAUGGUUGCUAUACUGAAAUAUGAUUUUUUAUUUUGAUCUUUCACCCAGCAACCACACUAAAUUCACUGAUUAAUUCCAACACUUCAUCUGAGGAUUCAAAGAUCAAAGCCCCAGCUGUUCCUCCAGGGCCAGGCCCCACCCACUGCACCGCCUCAUCCCCCAUGUCUCCCCGGAAGGGCCUCCCCUCUAUGGGUCUUUGGCUUUCCUACCCCCAUACCUUUUUAACACAGAUGAGGAUGAUGAAUGACAAUGAUAAUGGCAGUAAAUAAAAACAGAACACCAAUCACAAUCAAUAUCUUCACCUCUACCACCUGCUGUGCCAGGCAGGGACCCAGGCCCUUUAUGACAUAGUCCUUAACCCUCCUCCCCACCCUGGGAGCAAGGAAGAGAUUAUGCCCAUGUGAGCUGUGAGGAAGCUGAGGUGGAGCCCCAGUCUCUGCAAGGGAGUGUAGUAUGUUGAAGGAGGGCACAUCCAGUCCUCCUACUGUAAACAGCUGUGAAUAAGGUGUCACCCUGAGGCAGACGGAUGGCUCAGCUCCUUACCACAUGGAUGGCUCCUUCCUUCCUUCUUCAGGGUGCGCUGGCUCUCCCUGGAAGUUUCUCUGUGGAAACAAAAAG